UCCUGGAUCCGGAUUGGUGUUGCCGCCGCAGCCGCAAGGCACUGAUUGGAGGGUCACAGACCAUAAUAGCACAGCGCAGAUGAAAAUGAUUCAGAUUACAGAGUUCAUUUGUUCAACCAUAUGAAACUUUGUUUUAUGUGUUUUAAAAUGAUACCAAAUUUAUUUCCGAUUAUUCCAACGGCAGAAUACAAGGCACAGGGAACUUUGAGGUUCGUAAACGCUAUUUAGAGGUGCGUAAACGCUAUUUCCUAAAUCCCAGAGGUGCGUAAACGGUGUUUACGUGCGUUCACCCUCCACUACAGCCCUGGUAACAAUCAAUUAUUACUGAGAGAAAUAUAUAUUCAAAUUCUAGGUACAAGUCGAGAGAUAUGUCAGAAGUUCAUGAAGACUCUCAAAGCAGCAUUUGAUGCAACCAGUCUUUUUGUACAUGUCAAAUACGCAUACAAUUAAACACUCUAUAACUCUGUUACUCAUACAUUCAAGAAGGCUACACUGCUCGAUUAUUGUCGUUUUAAAAGGCGACUGACAGAUUGUGUCAGACAUAGAACCAACCUACCUGUUCAGAACGAUAUAUAGGCCAUAGGCUACGUUAUUAUCAUGUCAGCGUUGAUCUGAAUGAGCACGCGAUACAGCGGCUCGUGGCGUGACAGCCUUUAAAUACCAGCCCAGACGACACGAGCGUCAUUCCACAGAUGAAGACAGUCGGAGACCAUCCAGAGAACUCGUUGCUUCGGUUUGAUUGACGUCUAUUGGCCCUGCAGCCUGCUGUUUUUUUUACCAUCCAAACCCCCC